GAAGAAGGGAGGGCAUGUUGGAGAGAAUCACGAGAGCCCAAUAGGCCAUUGGCAGUGGUGAAGAGAUUAAUGGGAGAGGAGCCGUCUGUAAUAAGAGUAGACUUCAGACCCAAAGACUGCAGGAGCUUCACCUGGAAGACAAAACGUCGUACACCUGCACGGUGGCGUUGUGUGGGAUACGAUAAGACACCACUCUGGUUUUAUCCCGCUCCGCCUGCCCAAAGCUCCUUCCUCGAUCUGAGCGGUCAGCCAGCGGAUCACGGGACUGCGCCAGAAGAGACUCUACAUUGGCCGGAAGCUCUUUCUCCCACAAUUCCUCAUCCUGCGUCAGCAUGCGUUUUCUUAUCACGUAAACAUGAAGACAAACAUUUUGGGAAUGCUCAUGGGGUCAUAUCAACUAUUCAGAAUAAGGGUCAAAGGCUUGUGAAACAGGAAGCAAACAUGUCCUGUACCCCCUGAGUGUCAAUGAAGGCCUCGACGGCGCGCAGCACAAGCCCUUCCUCCUCAGACAGCACAUACACAUCCUGAAUGCCGUUCUCCAGAUGCUCACCGGGCAUGAGGAAGAAUGAACGCUCACCCUAUUAGAUGAGGAGACACAGAGAAGAGGUUUUUAUCAGUAUAUGCUAUACCUGCAGCAAUCACAUACAUUCAUUCAUUCA
ensembl:processed_transcript